rnacentral:rRNA from 1 species
GUAGUCAUAUGCUUGUCUCAAAGAUUAAGCCAUGCAUGUCUAAGUAUAAGCAAUCUAUACCGUGAAACUGCGAAUGGCUCAUUAAAUCAGUUAUCGUUUAUUUGAUAGUACCUUACUACUUGGAUAACCGUGGUAAUUCUAGAGCUAAUACAUGCUAAAAACCUCGACUUCGGAAGGGGUGUAUUUAUUAGAUAAAAAACCAAUGCCCUUCGGGGCUCCUUGGUGAUUCAUAAUAACUUAACGAAUCGCAUGGCCUUGUGCCGGCGAUGGUUCAUUCAAAUUUCUGCCCUAUCAACUUUCGAUGGUAUGGUCUUGGCUUACCAUGGUUUCAACGGGUAACGGGGAAUUAGGGUUCUAUUCCGGAGAGGGAGCCUGAGAAACGGCUACCACAUCCAAGGAAGGCAGCAGGCGCGCAAAUUACCCAAUCCCGACACGGGGAGGUAGUGACAAUAAAUACUGAUACAGGGCUCUUUUGGGUCUUGUAAUUGGAAUGAGUACAAUUUAAAUCCCUUAACGAGGAACAAUUGGAGGGCAAGUCUGGUGCCAGCAGCCGCGGUAAUUCCAGCUCCAAUAGCGUAUAUUAAAGUUGUUGCAGUUAAAAAGCUCGUAGUUGAACCUUGGGCCUGGUUGGCCGGUCCGCCUCACCGCGUGCACUGGUCCGACCGGGUCUUUCCUUCUGAGGAGCCGCAUGCCCUUCACUGGGUGUGUCGGGGAAUCAGGACUUUUACUUUGAAAAAAUUAGAGUGUUCAAAGCAGGCCUAUGCUCGAAUACAUUAGCAUGGAAUAAUAGAAUAGGACGUGUGGUUCUAUUUUGUUGGUUUCUAGGACCGCCGUAAUGAUUAAUAGGGACAGUCGGGGAUAUCAGUAUUCAAUUGUCAGAGGUGAAAUUCUUGGAUUUAUUGAAGACUAACUACUGCGAAAGCAUUUAUCAAGGAUGUUUUCAUUAAUCAGUGAACGAAAGUUAGGGGAUCGAAGACGAUUAGAUACCGUCGUAGUCUUAACCAUAAACUAUGCCGACUAGGGAUCGGGCGAUGUUAUCUUUUUGACUCGCUCGGCACCUUACGAGAAAUCAAAGU